AGUGGUGUUCGGCUUAUGUGGGAAUGUUGGAUCCCUGUUCCAGGCGGCGAUAGCACCUCCGCUUGGCCUCUUUAUUCGUCGGCACAAACUCGGGAUCAUUCGCGUUCGAUUAUCUUGUGUUGCAUUCCCAUUGUGAGGGCAUUUGUUCGGCUGAAUGGGUCCCAUCUCUGUCUUGUGUCGACAGCCCCUAGAGGGCGGCCGGCGCGGGGUAGAUCUCAUGGUGCAUGCUGCGUCCGGCACCGCAUUGAGCCGCACAUUGCUGCACGAGCGUUUUGGUCGUUAAGUUGUGAUGCAUCGCCCGUUGCCUUGGGUAUGGAACAUCGGGUGGGUACAUGGCCUGUUUGGCCCCCGAUCGCCAUGACAACACGUUCUAUGCUUCUUGCGAACGACCGUCGUCGGUGCACCCGCGC
rnacentral:misc_RNA from 1 species